GCCGCCCGGAAGGACUAAGCGGCUGCACCACGCUCGCCCAGAGGUCCUUCCGGGAGUCCAGCUGACACAGGUCUCGGCCAGGGCUCUACCUGCGCUCAGGAUUGGAAAAGCUGUGCGCAAUGAGAGGCGCGUUGGUUCUCCGCAACGGGGAGCAGAAACCGGCCUGGGUCAGCCAGUGGACUGGUUGGAAGCAGAGAACUGAAAGAAAACCAACACCCUAGUGAGGCCAAGGGAAGUUUUCCAGUUUCAUGAAGUCCCAUUUAUCAAUUCUUGAUCUUAGAGCCUGAGCCAUUGGAGUUCUGAUCAGGAAAUGUUCCCUUGUGCCAAGGAGUUCAAGGCUCUUUCCCACCUUUUCUUCUAUUGGAUUCAGUGUAUCUGGUUUUGUGUUGAGGUCCUUGAUCCACUUGUGUUGGGAGCCGCGCCCACAUUCGCCGUUACAAGAUGGCGCUGACAUCCUGUGUUCUAAGUGGUAAACAAAUAAUCUGCGCAUGUGCCAAGGGUUUUUAUGACUACUUGUGCUCUGCCUUCCCCGUGACGUCAACUCGGCCGAUGGGCUGCAGCCAAUCAGGGAGUGACACGUCCUAGGCGAAAUAUAACUCUCCUAAAAAAGGGACGGGGUUUCGUUUUCUCUCUCUCUUGCUUCUUGCACUCCUGCUCCUGAAGAUGUAAGCAAUAAAGUUUUGCCGCAGAAGAUUUUGGUCUGUGGUGUUCUUCCUGGCCGGUCGUGAGAACGCGUCUAAUAACAAUUGGUGCCGAAUUCCGGGACGAGAAAAAACUCGGGACUGGCGCAAGGAAGAUCC
rnacentral:lncRNA from 7 species